UAACAGCAGAGGUGGCUGUGAACAUCUGAACUCACUACUGCUCGAGCUCUAACACUCUGGACACGAUCUCACAUAGAGGGAGGUGUGAAAGGAAGGCCGCGCAGGUGGAAAUCCAGGAAGAAGGCCCCUGACAAAGAGCUGCCCUAGGUCCAUGAGCCCCACCUCACCAUUUGGGAUUCCCUCUGCGGCUGGAAGCUGGUACACGGGGUCCUGCGUGGCCCUCGAGGUUACCUACAGGACGGCGGCAGCAAGCUGAGAGCCAGGACAAGGAGGAGCUCGAGGGAGCCUGGAAGGCAGGGGGACAGAGCAGAAGACUCACUCCUUCCUGUCAGCUUCCUGUUUCUGUGAGCGACGCUGCUUCACCAGGCAGCAGCAAUUUCAUCCUGAAGCAGCAGGUUUUCUCAAGACAUGGGGCUGACUCCAUUCACUGCCUUGUUCCCCGGACACACACCAGCACCCACUGACAGCGCCCCCAGCUCAGAGGUCGGAGUGUCCUAUCUGUGGGGCUCUUUGUGUUAAUUCGUAAGAUUAAUAAUUCCACCUUUGCUUUGUUCCCUUAGUUGCAGUGGCUACCUUCGUGAUAGCUUAUGACUAUUUCUGUGCUGGACUAAAAACCUUACAUGAGAACAUAAAUUCUCACUCAAAUAACUGGUAUGGUUCCUUUCUCCUGACUGGACCAUGAUGGACACACUGCAGACAGAUUUUCUGUCUCUUCUUGUGUACAUUAGCUGCAAUGAUCAUUGCUCUUCAUGCUUUCUUACUGCCUCACA